rnacentral:rRNA from 1 species
UACGUAGGUGGCAAGCGUUGUCCGGAAUUAUUGGGCGUAAAGCGCGCGCAGGCGGUUCCUUAAGUCUGAUGUGAAAGUCAAAGGCUCAACCUUUGAAAGCCGAUGGAUACUGCAGGGCUAGAGUACGGAAGAGGCGAGUGGAAUUCCUGGUGUAGCGGUGGAAUGCGUAGAUAUCGGGAGGAACACCAGUGGCGAAGGCGGCUUCCUGGACCGGUUCUGACACUGAGGAGCGAAAGCGUGGGGAGCGAGCCGG